GUAGCUUGACUACCACACAAAUGAAUCCACUCAAAUGUUGGCAAGUGGAGCAGAGUCCCAGGAAAGGUACAGAAACACCCCCAGUUCAAGGAUCUUCAUACCUGGAUUUAGGCCUACUCCUGCAACUACCCCAGGAGGCUCUUGGAAACCACCGUGAAUUGGACUGCACUGGAAACACAGAUGAAGAAAGUCAACGCCGCUUUGUCCUUCAAUGCCUGGCUCCUUUUUCAGCUUGUCUUGCGAGUCCAGGGAGGGGCACGCCGCCUUUACCCUGUGCUUCCCACGAUCUUGUCUCCUUAAUCCUCACUGCAGCUCUCUGCCAUAGGGUCUUAUACUGCUUUACAUGUGGGUAACUGAGGCUCAGAGGGUUUCACAGCAGGGCAGGGAGCCCAGAUGUGAAUCUGUAGAUACCAAGCUUUCUAAUUUUUCAGUAGUUUCCAAGCAUUUUUUUUUUCUUGUUUCGUCAUUGGUGUCUUUUUUUUUUUUUUGAGACAAAGUCUCUGUCGCCCAGGCUGUGGUGCAAUGGUGCGAUCUCAGCUCACUGCAACCUCUGCGUCUCACAUUCAAGCAAUUCUCAUGCUUCAACCUCCCGAGUAGCUGGGACUACAGGUGCCCACCACACCCAGCUUAUUUUUGUAUUUUUAGUAGAAACAGGGUUUCACCAUGUUGGCCAGGCUGGUCUUGAACUCUUGACCUCAGGUGAUCCACCCGCCUUGACCUCCCAAUAUGCUGGAAUUAUAGAUAUGAGCCACUGUGCCCAGCCAUGUCAUUGGUGCCUUAACCAAGCCUCUUCUAAUUUUUCAAAUGGAAGAGCCCCUGUCCCACAGUUACUGCUGCUGAGCCCUUUCAAGGUGACUCAGUGAGGAGGGAGAAAAGCGGAAGCGGUGUGGGAAGAGGCGGGGUCUGGGCCAGCUGCUGUUCCUGCUUUCCUCCCUCCUCUGGCCUCUAGGCUCCCAGGAGUGGUUUGGAACCUGCGCCAUGUGCUCUGGAGGCUGUGGCAGGGCAGGGGCGGCUUGGAACCUGCGCCAUGUGCUCUGGGGACUGUGCCAGGGCAGGGGGAGUCCUCGUGUCCGCUGCGCACAACACAGACAGAAGGCUGGGUCCACGCAGUGGGCGGUCGGGUGCUAGGCUAGUGCUUACCCCGCCAUGUUUGCAGCCCGAGGCCAGCUGGCUGCAGGUGCAGGGCUAUGCGUCAGGGGUCAGAGUGCACACAGCCCUGCAGGUCUCAGGGCUCCUGGGUUGCUUCUGGAAGGGUCCAGAUGGGGCCUGACUGGAGCUGCCAAGGGGUGGAACUUCUGGGAAAAGGAUCCCUCCUAGGGGGGAGUGUCUUGAGCCUGGGGCCAUGUGGCAGGGACAGAGACGGG
rnacentral:lncRNA from 1 species